AGUGGAGCCGCGGGGGCUCAGCUGGACAGUGGUCGGGUCGUGGGGCUGGAGGGCGGGAGCGGGGGAAGGGAAAAGCAAAAGCGGGGAAAGAAGCCGGAGAGCGGUAGACCAGACAUCUAGACCUGAAAGGCUCGUGCGGAGGCAGAGGCGGGAUCUUCCGGAGGUAAUAUGUUUAAUUCAGGAAUUGCGAAAAGCCUUGCAGCAGCUACAAGAAUUGCAGAAUAAGAGCCAACAGCUUCGUGCCUGGGAGGCUGAAAAAUACAAUGAGAUUCGAACCCAGGAACAAAACGUCCAGCACCUAAACCAUAGUCUGAGUCACAAGGAGCAGUUGCUUCAGGAAUUUCGGGAGCUCCUACAGUAUCGAGAUAACUCAGACAAAACCCUUGAAGCAAAUGAAACGUUGCUUGAGAAACUUCGCCAGCGAAUACAUGAUAAAGCUGUUGCUCUGGAGAGCACUCCCAGGAGAUGGAAAGCCUGAGGGAGGCUCUGCUGUCCUCUCGAUCCCACCUUCAAGAGCUGGAAGAGGAGCUGGAGCACCAGAAGGUGGAAAGGCAGCAGCUUUUGGAAGACUUGAGGGAGAAGCAGCAAGAGGUCUUGCAUUUCAGGGAGGAACGCCUUUCCCUCCAGGAAAACGACUCCAGGUGCUAGGCAGCAAAGGCAUUCAUGAGCUUUGGAGCAGCACCAGUGCCCUGCACCAUGCCCUAGAGGAGUCGGCUUCCCUCCUCACCAUGUUCUGGAGAGUGGCCCUGCCAAGCACCCACAUCCCUGUGCUGCCUGGCAAAGUGAGAGAAUCGACAGAAAGGGAACUUCUAGAACUGAGAACCAAAGUAUCCAAACAGGAGUGGCUCCUUCAGAGCACAGCUGAGCAUCUGAAGAUCGCCAACCAGCAGAAAGAGAGCAUGGAGCAGUUCAUCGUCAGCCAGCUAACCAGAACACAUGAUGUUUUAAAGAAGGCAAGGACUAACCUAGAGUUAAGGAAACUACUGCACCAGUCAGAGGCACCAAGCCUGUCCCCAACCCAUCACCAUCUGUUAGCAGAUCUUGUAGGUGACGCUUGGCCUGCUUUCGCCUUCCAGGAGAAGAUUUCCAGUCCACUUGUGAAAUCCCUAAGGGCUCUGCCAUGUACUCCAGCCUUGUGACCCUUGCCUUCCAGGAACCAUGCAAGAAGCGCAGCCACCGGAAGUCCUUAAAACAGCAGGAAAGGUUGGCCUGUCCCCCUUUUGUGCAGCUACCUAUCUGCUGAGGAGCAUCUGGGCCUCAUUCCUCCAAGUCCACUGGAGGGUCCAGAAGAGGGAGUCAGAGUUGUAUCCUGGUGGAGCUGGCAGAAAGGCAGAAAGCCUUUCUGACAGCUAUGGAAUACGAUUAGCCAAGGUCCACUUGGCCCAGCACUAAGAAAAAGAUGCGUAGUUUGCACAGAAGGUUUUGUGAUCCUGCCUCUCAACAGCCCCAGCAGCUUGGGAACUAGCAAGAGCACAUUUCUUGCCUCAUCAGCUGUCCUGAGAUGGAAAACUCAGUGAAUAUAGGACCCUGAUUCUGAUGAAUGGGGCACGUGGUCCUAUUGCUGGAGCUCCUCUGGCAGGUUCUAAAAGCACACUACGGAGCAGCGGUGCCCUGCCAGACACUGCUCGUGGGGGCUCAGUGAGCACUACUCACAGAUCCACACCUGACCCUGUUGGGUCAAGUCAGGCUGGGUUUUGGUCUGCACUGUAGCACCUGCGUUCUUUGAGUUCACAUCAUGAAUGUGGUGACUUCCCAGAUACCAUCUCAGGCUUAACCUAGCACAUCCUAUUUCUUUUCUUCUAUGAUAUCCAAAUUGGACUGACCUCACUUCAAAUAUCUUGUCCCAUUUUGUCGUCCUAUCUUACCUCGGGGAAAUUGGGGACUGAUGGCCAGACCAAUUCUGUUGAAAUUCUUGCAUAGAGCAAACCUGUGCUCAUUUUUAAGUGGCAUGGGAGAGGCCCCCAGCCAUAGUAAAGCCUAGUCUGUGUCUUCACAGUUUUGAUAGAAUGUGCUUGUGUGUAUAGAUGUAUGAUACAGAUUUAUUUAUGUUGCUAUCGCCAUAUAUUGAAGGCCAACAUAACUGGUGGACAGGGUGGGUGACAGAAAAUGAAAGUCUUUUUGGUGAUUAUUAAAGCAA